CUUGGCAGUUGAGAUUCAGACCUUGACAGUUGUAACCGAUAGACUGGGCUGGGGCAACGCUGAUGAAAGGCAAAUUCCUGAGAGAAAAAUCACCCAGAUUUUUCAGUGCCUUCUCUAGCUUUCUAGAAGUUGUUAUGAGUGGACCUGACUACCUAGAGAGAGUAAUACAGAAGCUCCGUGCCGAUCACAGCUACCUCAUUACCAUGUUCCUCCAAGAUGGCCGCCCCUGAGGAGAAUCAUCAACUGGGCUUUACGGAAGAGAGAAAUCCAAACGACCAUCAGCAACAAAUGAAAGACUGAAGUUGAAAGGAAAUCCAUAAUUUUUGAAUGCUGGCCGAGGUCUGUGACCUCUGACUGAAUGGUUUCCAAGCUCCGAAUUCCUAGGUGAUGUUUUCAUUUGUUCACACUUGCUGAAGAAGGGAAAGGCUCUCUGAUUUACGUGUAAGCAAAACAAUCUAAACAGUAGGAUAAAAUCAUGUUGGAAUGGAGUUCUGUGUGGAUGCUCCUUUGAACCAAAUCAGUUCCACAACUGACCCUGUCAGGGACAUAUAAAUUUAGCAUUUUGGUGUGGAUACAGAAGACGAGAUUAACACAGAUCAAGUAACAUGGAAAUAAAAAAGGAGACAAUGCUGGAUGAUACAGGGGCAGCCAACAAGAGGAGAAAACCCAAGCAUUGGCAAAUGCCUCAUUAUCCAAAGAACACUGAGGUGUGGAGCAAAACUGUGUUGAAUGAACUGUAGAUGGAAAUUCUCUCCUUCCCACCGAGGAGCCGCUGCAGGUUGCAGACUCCCAGAAUGCCACACUGAGAAGAGGAGGGCUAAAAUUCUAGAGCAGAAUCCCUGGGGCAGCCCCUGCUGAAGAAGGGUGCAUCUGUUGAGAAUCUCAUCACCGCCCCCACCCCGCCCAGCCUUCAAUUUAGAGGAAUUUCUAGUUCACGCAGAAUGAAGACAAGAUCACAUAAGUGAGGACGACGCCCCAUUUACAAGUGUGAUUUGGAAGACUGAAGUGGAAACCUUGGGAAGGGGCCUCAGAGUAUGUCAGCUGGGGUCAGACGGGAACAGGAGUCUGGCUCAACACACAUUUAUUGCACUCCUGUUUCAUGCCAAGAAAUGUACCAAAAUCUGGGACUGUGUAACACAGCAAAGGAAAAGACUCAUCUCCAGGAAGCCCCCUUGUCUAGGAAGAGAAAUUGAAUAUCAGCAUAAGGUGGUGAAAAGCUGUGAAGGAGAUGAGUGCCAGGAGUCCAUGGAGGAAGGAUUCUAGCCUGGACAGGUGAGGAAUGGCUUUCUGGAAGAAGCAGAUGCCCCAGCUGAACUUUAAAAUGCCCAUGUGAAAUGAACUGUCUGUAUCUUCAAUCAGCAAAUGGAGUGAUUGUGGUGAAUAGUCAUGAGAAUCUGGGAACUGGCUCCUGCUCUGUCUAUCUUGGAGAUGCAUCUUUUGUGAGAAGCCAGGGCAAGAAUAGGGAGGCUUAGGCAAUGGGAAGUUUCUGAGUAGAUAAAGCAGAUGGCAGAGCAAAGGGACAGAGCCUGGCGAGAGGCUACUCCCUGUAGCAACCUGCCUAAGAGUGAGAGGAAAGCAAGGCAUGGCUAUGAGCACGUGUAGUCUCAGCUACUUGGGAAGCUGAGGCUGGGGGAUCACUUGAGCCCAGGAGUUCAAGACCAGCCUAGGCAACAUAGUGAGACCAUGUCUCUUUAAAAAAAAAAAAAAAAAGAAAAAGGGAGAGAGAGAAAAAAAGGUGACAAUUCCCCCAACACACAUAAAGUACAUAAGAGUUAACAAGGACACAGUGGCAGAAAAUAGUCAGAACUGAGCAAGCAUCAGUGAGGAAAUGUUUUCCUGAGGAGACUUGAGAAGUCUCAAAAAUGAAAAGAAAGAGUAUUUGGUGUAGAAAGAAUGGCAUGAGAUGUGAAAGCUCAUUCAUCCAUUUAUUCCAGGUAUAUCUUUUUCUUCAGUACUUUGGGAGGCAAUAGGUGUAAUAGCAAGAACAUUCAGGUUAGUGGGUUAGUGUGAGUCUGCCAUAUGUAUGAGGGUUGAAUACACAUUAGGUGUGGUGACUGUCAUAUGGGAGGCACUGCAAGGUGAAGGAGACAUGUCCUCACAUUUGGUCUUUGGGAAGCGAAGCAGGCAGAAACCCAAGUGCAAAGUGGCCAUUUGUUUUCCUAAUGCUAGAUAAGUACCUGAUGUGUUGGAAGGGUGGAGUAGAACUAGAAACUCCUGGAAGUUCUUUUAAGAACGAAUGCAGGACCUCAUCAGCCCGAGUCUUUAAAUAAGUCACACAUUUUUGGUCACCACAUUCUGGAAGGGGGACAAAAAGAUCUGUCACAGACAAAAUUUGGAGAUAUUUAAGGCUUUGUUGACUUUGGCAAAUGCUUGAUUAUAGUUCUGUGGUCUGUUUGUUUUCUAGAGUCUCCAUGAAUUGCAAGGGAAAACAAGUGGUACACUGGUAUUUCUAUUUGAUAACCUGUUCUCUUUGGAAUUCCGGUUAGAAAUCAAAGGCUUACUUGAGUUUUAAUGCUUUCGGGACUUCAAAUGCUUUUCUAUCUUCCUAAUAAUAUAUUAACAUUUUCUGAAGACAACAUAUAUGUGGAAAACAACAUUAUUUACUCAAAUAAUUUUUUUUGAAAAAUGGACCAAAAAAAAAGAAAAACCAACAAAAA
rnacentral:lncRNA from 1 species